GCUUGUCGUCUCGCAUUGGGCACUGCCGGCUGCUAUUUCGACUAUUUUUUUCAUUUAGAAAUCGAAGUAAACAGAAAAUAUGUGAUAAGCGCGCUGCGCACUCUUUACCUGAUAUGGCACCUGCCCCCGCACCGCGCACCUCGUACCCCUCUGGGCAAUUUACGAAAUCCGAGGCGACAAAUUGUGCAACGGAGCAAUGCAUCAGUUUGGUCCGGCAGCGGCAACCCAGCGGCCGCACAGUGGGACAAGCACAGAAAUAACUGAGCUAUUUCUUUGACCAGUCUAUCUGCUCCCUGGUGAUCCCUGCUCCUGGGCCAGAUGUCGGCCUUGAGGAGUGGGUUCCCAAGCCGCACAGUGUGCUAGACACCUGGGAAAUCAUUUGAUUGAUAUACCGUGUAUGUUAAAUCCGAGUUUCAAACGGCUUAAAAAUGUCUAAACACCUGCCUGGGCUGUGGCUACUGUUCAAUGGAUAUGUGUAGGCACAGUGCUAGCCAUGGGAAAUUUUGGGGACAGGGGGUGGGCAGAGUACGCCCGAAUAUCGAAUCGCCUUUUGAAGAUAUCUGAGCAUUUCGGAGGCACUUUCGUUUAUCUACCCUCUGUGCCAUGGACGCCGGCCGAGAUACCACUCGACCGUUAAAAGUAAGAUCAAGCCGCUUUAUAUCUUGGCGGUGGCUACUGGAACCCCGACACCACCACCAACACCAACACCAACCGCACCCGCUCCCGUACCCCUUCUUCUUCAACUUGCUGUUUUUUUGUAAACAAUGCCGCAGUCCCGUCGCAGUCACUGCCGCUGCCUCAGCUACCGUAUAGCUGCUGCUGCUGCUGCUGCUGCUGCUGGCUCUGUUCGUUGCCGCUUUUGAAGUGGGCAGACCGCCAACGUGGAUCUUGCCCCAAUCAGCUGCGACAAUCUCUUGGCAGCGACGUCGACCGCACUGCCAGCGGUGGCUGGCUGCAUGCUCUGUUGCAUAGUUUCCAGUCCGAUAAUGCAUUAUAAAUAAUGUUAAAAAAGCAACAAAAAACAAAACAAAAACCGACUACAAAAAAAAAUUAAGAGUAUCAGAUGAAUGCGCGGCGCAAGAUUUAUGAGCAAAUCGAUUUAAUCAAGUUUUAUUAUUAAUAUUACUAUUUGUUUUAUGUUAAUUAUGGUUAGCCCUUGACAGAUUUUGUUUAAUCUAAGUGUUUGCUCUCGUAGCUAAAUAAAUAUUUAUUAGUAAACUGA